CACCGAGCAUUUUUAUCAACAAUUACGCCUCACGGCUGUAGAACAAAUCACAUUUCACGACACUAAAAUCAAGCAUUUCACAUUUCACACGAACAAAUAUUCACCAUUCACGGCUCACAAAAAUUCCCUUUCCCACUCUCUUUAUAGCUCAGUCGAAUACAAAUUGCCAACAAGUUUGUAACAAGCUGUUAACAACUUGUAACAAGCUUGAUGAUAUUAUCAGAUUUGGUACAAGGUUGUUCUAACAAGUCUGAUACAGUCAUGAUACAACAAGAAUGUUACAAGGUUAACGGCACAAGGUUGCAACAAUAUUG